UACAGGGGGGGCAAGUGUUGUUCGGAAUUACUGGGCGUAAAGGGUUCGUAGGUGGCCACUUAAGUCAGACGUGAAAUCCCUCAGCUUAACUGGGGAACUGCGUCUGAUACUGAGUGGCUUGAGUGCAGGAGAGGAAUGCGGAAUUCCAGGUGUAGCGGUGAAAUGCGUAGAUAUCUGGAGGAACACCGGUGGCGAAGGCGGCAUUCUGGACUGUAACUGACACUGAGGAACGAAAGCCAGGGGAGCAAACGGG
rnacentral:rRNA from 1 species